rnacentral:rRNA from 1 species
GACUCAACACGGGGAAACUCACCAGGUCCAGACACAAUAAGGAUUGACAGAUUGAGAGCUCUUUCUUGAUUUUUUGGUUGGUGGUGCAUGGCCGUUCUUAGUUGGUGGAGUGAUUUGUCUGCUUAAUUGCGAUAACGAACGAGACCUUAACCUGCUAAAUAGCCCGUGCCGCUUUGGCGGCUCGCUGGCUUCUUAGAGGGACUAUCGGCUCAAGCCGAUGGAAGUUUGAGGCAAUAACAGGUCUGUGAUGCCCUUAGAUGUUCUGGGCCGCACGCGCGCUACGCUGACAGAGCCAGCGAGUACUCCCUUGGCCGGAAGGUCCGGGUAAUCUUAGAAACUCUGUCGUGCUGGGGAUAGAACAUUGCAAUUAUUGUUCUUCAACGAGGAAUCCCUAGUAAGCGCAAGUCAUCAGCUUGCGUUGAUUACGUCCCUGCCCUUUGUACACACCGCCCGUCGCUACUACCGAUUGAAUGGCUCAGUGAGGCUUCCGGACUGGCCCAGGGAGGUCGGCAACGACCACCCAGGGCCGGAAAGCUAUCCAAACUCGGUCAUUUAGAGGAAGUAAAAGUCGUAACAAGGUUU